UACGGAAGGUCCGGGCGUUAUCCGGAAUUAUUGGGUUUAAAGGGAGCGCAGGCGGGAGUAUAAGUCAGCUGUUAAAUAUCAGGGCCCAACUCUGUUAUGCAGUUGAAACUAUAUUUCUUGAGUACGCACAGGGAUGGCGGAAUUCAGGGUGUAGCGGUGAAAUGCUUAGAUAUCCUGAAGAACUCCGAUCGCGAAGGCAGCCAUCCGGAGCGUAACUGACGCUGAGGCUCGAAGGUGCGGGUAUCGAACAGG
rnacentral:rRNA from 1 species